rnacentral:lncRNA from 1 species
GAACACUCAAGGAAAUCUGGCUUAUGUAUAAAACAUACACUUCGUGUGUAUACGUUACUCCAGCUGAGAUUCAAGAAGUAUCAGCCUGAAAUCAUUGAGUUGUUUAUGAACUGGAAACAUUGACCUCUUGAAUAGGAACUAAUUAGCGAUUGUAGCAGACUACGCUGUGCUGCAACAGUGCAACUCACAAAACAACAACAAAAAGGUCAGCCCCGUGCACGAGAGGCACCUACAUAUCAAGAAACAAAACAACGACAAAGGUGAAUGUGCCUUGUUGAAAUCUUGGAUAAAGCUGAAACCAAUAUGAAGAAAAACAUAAUACAGAGUCUUAAGGAAAACUUCAUCUUAAAAAUGCCUGUGAUACAUGCCUAAAUCUCAAAAGGUUUUAUUAUGACAACUGUCUGGUGAAAUACUGGCAUUAGUUGAUCCCAAGAUAAUGGUCUCAGUAGUACAUGCAUAACAUAUAUUUAGAGUAUCUUCAAGUAGUUCUAGAUAUUCAUCUUAUUAUGAAUGAACAUUGAUUUCUCACUUUUGAAUCCCAAGGUUUUUCACCUCUGGAUUGUCUUAAAGAUUUCUAUACCUUAUAUAAAGGUGAUGUAGCUGAUAACCAUAUUAGACAAAUAUCAGCCAAACUCAAUGGAACAAACACAAGUCCCUUUCUUUAUCCCUAUUGGUCAUAGUCUCAUCUUCUGUGAUAGUGGUAUCUGUUUUAUAAUGAGUUGCUCAUUCGAUAUUGAUUUGUAUAGGACAAAUAAAUUAAUCAACCAUUUAUAACAAACAAAAACAAGACUGUUUACAACUCUGGCAAGGGCAUAAAUAUAAUAGUACUAGAAGACAUGUCUUUACCUUGGCUAUUCAUGAAGUUUCACAAUCCCAUCUAAGGUGCCUGCUACGAACACCAGCUGGUUAUUAAUCUAUUGUGCUAGUUACUUUCAUAAGUGCUUGCCCCACUUGCAGGUAGCCGUUUGUGUUGAAGUGCUUGGGACCCUGUGGAGAGAAAAAAAAAAAUCAAUAGUCAUAGAUACAUCCUUCAUGCAUCCAUGAUGUAGGCACUGAACACCCUACAUUUAUUUCUAGGGAUACAACUAAUCUUAUUUUCCCACUUGCGGCUUUCGUUUAACGAAUAACGAACUAAAUGCUACCGGAUAAAGGAAUAACCCAAAAUCUGUUUUCUCGGGACUCGGGGAUGUCCCAAUUCGUUGGACAGAAGAGAUGAAAAAUAAACUAAAUCGUAUGAAGCGGUCUAUGUUAUCGCAUGGAAAUGCAGUUACCUGUGGAGGGUGUUGGUUAGACCCAGCCAGACUGCACUCCAAAGUGUAGAUGUUGCUGAUGCCUAGAUGACGCCAUCCGACAAUUCUGGCGGUAGUUUCACGACUCUUUUCAACUUCAAAGGAACACUGGUCUGCAUCGAACAGAGGCAAUUCCGAUUGCAGAAGUCGCACGAAAACCUGUUAUAUUGUUUCCGAGGAUGCCAUAAGAAAAAGAAAAAAGAGGGAAAUUAUUGUUAUUCUGGAAGACGGUAAAAAAGCGGACCAAUACAAAAACACAAUUCA